GGGUUGUUUGUGAAGAAAGAUAAGAGGCAAACAAAGUUUCGAGAACUGUAUGAUUUUUUUUGGCCCGCAUGCAAAAAUGUAAGUAAUUUUGUUUUCUGCGGUUGCCGGUUUCGAUUGCCAAACUCUCUGCUUAAAUACAAAUAGUAUUUUGAAACUGUUCUAUAAGUACUAUAUAAAACAUGAGCAGCCGAUCUUUAGCUGAAGUUUAUGUGAAUCAGGACAAAUCUUUAUCCGAUUUACAAACAUUUAUUGAAUAUUCAUUUCUUUUGUAUUUUCCUCAUGAAUUAUUAAUGAGUUUUUUAAAUCAGUUCAUUAUAUUUGUGCAAACUUAAGAAUAAUUCGAAUUUUAUAUACAUGCAUGGGCAUUCGUUUUAGUAAUCAUUUACGGAAAAAAAGCAUCCGCUUUUCCGUUCAAAUUUACAUGCAUCAUCGAAAAGGGGUCAGACGUGUCUUGUAUCUUGAUUGAUGCAAAAUGCACCUGUUGUUCAUUACGGCAUCUAUAGUGGUCAGGAACGGCUUUACUGAACAAUAGUGCACGAAAAGUUUGUUUGUCGCUGGCGGAGUUUCAAUUAUUUUUCUCUUUCAUCGAUGUUUUCAGGAACUACGACGCUGAUGCAUUGACGCAGUUAGUGCCAGUUGGAUUCUUGCGGUUUAGUAUCUGUCCACAUUUUAAUAACAGGUGUGGUAUGAUUAGAGGGUUUUUUUUAACUAAGAUCGAUGUCACAUCAAACUUAAUAUCUUGUGUAGGAAUUGAAACUCUAUAGCUAUAUAUAUGUACAACGCCGAAAAAUUUUGAAACUUUGAAAUAUAUACCAUAUAGGGAAUAUAAACAUGCAAAGAAAUUCUACAGACAGCAGAAUACAAGACAAGGUUUAAUUAUUGUUCAGUUGAGUUAUUUUUCUGUUUUAAAAUGAUGUUAAGUUUUGAAGUUAAUCUGAGAACCG